ensembl:lincRNA
AUGGCCCUAAGGCUCCCGUGGGGACGCCCGGCCUGGGAGGUACUCGGAGGAAGUCUCGGCACCCAAAGGCUGCACAGCCGUGCCCUGGAAGACGCCAAGGUGGGGUCUGGCCCUGGCUGUCUUUCCAAAACAGGCCCCACCUAUUUGAUGGAAACAGCUGGGUCCACUUUCUCCCCAUGCCCCGGAGAGCACAGGGCAGCGGUGUCUGGGGCCAGCCAGCAGGGGGAGCCAGCACCUAAGUGGAAAGACCAGGAGCUUCCAGAAUGGGUCUGAGGACUUCAUCGGAGAAGAGCCAGCUCAGAAAGAAGGCGCCGGCCACCUCCCCUACAACGUGGGACCAUCAGCAGGCCUGCGUCACCUGUCUCUGCCACAGGCUGGCUAGAUGCUCUCGGGCGAGGGACUGCAUCCCUUUUCCGGGGUGGGUAGGUCGGGGAGGAGGAAAUGAACGUCCGGGAGGCACUGACACAAUAAAAUGAGGUAACAGAGGGGAAAUCUGGCAGAGUCCCUGGCAUGCAACUCCUGGUUGAAUUUGCUUUUUUUUUUUUUUUUUUUUUUUUUUAAAUCAAGACAGGUUUACUGAUUCCUGUGGGACUGUAAUUUCCGAGUCUGCCCAAAGUGCAAACAUUUGCCAGGCGGGGAGGGUGGGGUGUGGUGUGGUGCUCUGCUGUCUCUUUUCUUUUCCUCCAGCCUUUUUUGCAUCAAGCUGUCUGUACUUCAGAACGCCCUGCUCUCUCCAACAUUCUAGCAAGCACCCUAGGGUUGAUUAUACAUUAGCCAGGUGCUCAAGUCAAAGGGUGCUUUUUGUUAGGCCUGGCCUGGAAGGGCUCCUUUCAUUGGAAAACUGCUGUGUGCCAAGAGUCAACUCAAAAGCAUUGUUCCCUGUGGAACCCGUCUUCUGACCUAAAAUGUGGCCAUUCACCUCCCCAAUUUACUGACAGCCCACGUCGGUUUUGCAAGGCCCCGCACAGGGCAGAGAUAGAUAAGCCACGAUCACACCAGGGGAAAGCCUCCACUGAUGGGUACAGAGAUACCAAGAGCCGAUUUCAGAACCAUGUAUGUGCCUAUCUACAGAGAUCCCCACUGAGAAAGGUAUCUACGCCAGUUCCCACGAACAUUCUGUGAGGGAAGAACUAGCUCCACUUCAGAGACUGCCCUCCAAGUGCAAGGUUAGACAGGAAAGGGCAGGACCAGGACUGGACCCCUGGUGUGGCUCAGCCUCGAUCUCCCAUAUCCUAAAUGGGCAGGGGCUCUUGGGAGACCUCCUCCUGCACCGGCUCCAACAUGACUACAAUAAUGUAGGUCACUGUAGCUGAAAAGUGCGGUUUUUUUCUCCGUAUCAUUGAGCCGUUUUGUGAUCUGGACUGUGGCCUGGGGGGUAGUGACACCAGCCCUAGCCCAUUUGGUGGCCUGACGGCUCUCGGGGUCACACACUCAUGCCAGCGACCCUGGGGAUCUGAACAUCACCCCACAGUGUGUCCAUCCCUGCUCGUGCCCUCCUCCGGCAUUAAAUCGUACUGGAACCAGCCAGGACCCAGCACCCUCGACUGUUUCACGGGCUUCCUGCUUCUCCUUCCUGCCUCACCUGAUGCAUCAGAAUUUUGCGGUAAAACUUCAGCUUUACAAGAAGACACAGCAGGAACAACAAGGGAACUCAGUGAUCCAAAACCAGCUAAAUGAAGGCAUGUGUGUGUCUGUGUGUGUAUGUGUGUGUGUGUCUUUCUUCUUCUAAUGUAAAGCAGUUCCAAGAAAAGUGAAGUCACGGCCUCUGGUGCUUAUUUUCAGUUCUUAGAAAAGAGCCCAUUUCAAAAGGGAAGCUGGGUGGCGGGAGCGCACACAGCCUGUCCUCAUCUGGUGGGGAAGUGGGGGGGAGGUGCUUGCUGAUAAACCGACUGUGAUUUGGCUCCUGAAAACUAAAAGCCCCAACCGAGAUGCGUUUUCAUUUAGCGGUGUCAAGGAGGAAAUGCUAUGAAUCGGUGAGAGCUAUUAAUAUUUGGGGGAACCACAAGGGCUCGCGCCCCCGCACUGGGGCCGCAGGAGCCCCUGGGAGCGGCAGGCAGUCUGCGGGACUGUCGGAAAAAGUGCAGGCACCCUCUGGUCCCCACCUCCCACACUUCUGACAGAGGUCCCCGCACAGGCAACCCUAUCAGCUAAAUCAGCAUUUCUCAACAGGGCACUAUUUACCAAAGUUAGGUGAAGACAAACCCCAGGGAGAUGAGAAGGUUCUGGGCAGCCCACUCCGUUUUCUAGCUGGAAAGCGGGUUUGGGGGAAGGGCGGGGGGUGGUGGGCAAGGCUCCGGAGGGCGGACUUCUGGGCCGGGAGUCAAGGAGCCGGCCACACUCCCAGCUCGAGGACUCCAACUG